rnacentral:misc_RNA from 1 species
GUGAAUCAUCAAAUUUUUGAACGCAUAUUGCACUCUCUGGUAUUCCGGAGAGUAUGCCUAUUUGAGGGUCAUUUUAAAUAAUAUAAAUUCCAAGAUUUCUCGGAAUUUCAAAUGGGUUUUCCAUUUUUUGUGUUCUCCUAAAAUCCAAGACAAACUCAUUUUCUUGGGUUGCUUGAUACUUUCCGUUACCUCGUUACUUAACCUGGCCUCAUCGGGCGUGUUAUGCAUUUUCCAAGAUAUAAAAAAUUCCAUACAUUUAUCUCAUUCUCAUUAUAACUC